AUACUUACCUGGCAGGGGAGAUACCAUGGAUCAAGAAGGUGUUCACCCAGGCGAGGCUUAACCUGCACUCCGGUUAUGUGACCCUGCGAAUUCCCCAAAUGUGGGAAUCUCGACUGCAUAAUUUGUGGUAGUGGGGGACGGUUCGUCCGCUCUGCCCCGA